UAGUACAAUUUUCAAACAUUUGAGUCAUUUUUUGAGCUACUUACGUAUAGAAUUUUUAAUUUUGUGAUUUCAUUACAUAAUUUUUAUUCGAUGUUACUCUGUGGAUAAAAUUGUUAAACCAAACAGAAAUGCUUAAAUAUAUCAUAAAAAGUUCAUUAUUAGUUGUGUUUAUUAUUCAGCAAGAAAAAGUUGAGAUUUAUGUAGUAUUUUUUUUUU